rnacentral:lncRNA from 1 species
UUCUUGGUCUAUUAUACCAGGCAAGUCUGCUGCCAGCAGCCGCGGUAAUUCCAGCUCCUAUAGCGUAUACUAAAGCUGCUGCGGUUAAAAAGCUCGUAGUUGGAUCUCAGUUCCAGACGAGUAGUGCAUCUACCCGAUGCAACGGCUCGGACUGAACAUCAUGCUGGUCCUUUCUUGGUGCACUUCAUCGUGUGCCUCGAGAAGGCCGGUGCUUUUACUUUGAAAAAGAGUUAGAGUGCUCAACGCAGGCGAGUCGCCUGAAUAUACUUGCAUUGAAUAA